ensembl:lncRNA
CUUGGAGAUAAUGGGGUCUGUUUGCUUGUUUGCUCAUUUUUAGAGUGAAUUCGAGAGAACUUUUCCCAUGAUGUCAAAGAAUGGUCAAAGACCGGCGCUCCCCGCUGACCACUUCUGCCUGUUAAAUUCACACACUGGACUUUGGGGCCAGUUUUGUCAGAAAGCAUGACUUCAUAGCAGUGGCAGCGUGGCAAAGGUCUAGCAGAGCUUUAAGCCUGGAUAAACAGCCCAGUGGGAAUACCUCUCCUUCCUCUGUUUUUUCAGCUCAUGCAUUUGUUACUACUCAUUCCCACUCGAUGGAGCAGCGGUGCGCAUGCUGUCAAACCAGUUUUGGGCAGUCACGCCUCCACAGUUGACUGGCAUGGCACCAUGGAAACCAAAAAAUGGUGCGCCAAGGAUGGGAAAGAGACUUUCGGGGAAGUUCCAAAAGCCGAUCCGACUGAAAGCAUAGGCUUUGUGGACUCUCACCGAGAUCAAAGGAGGAUCAACAAACAGUUGUGUAAGGAGAGUCUGAGGGGGGGAAGUGGAAAGUCUUUCAGAUAUCUCUCCAGAUUAAUUCCUAUGGAGGUGAGGAGCACCCUACUGUCAGUAACACUUCAGGAGAACAGGACAAAACACACAGCAACUCAAAUUAAACUCUACUCAUCUGGCUAGAUUUGGGGAUUAGUUUACAUGACACAGUUUUCAACCAAAAACUGGACAUUUUGGCCAUUCAUUUACACGACAGUAGCAUUUUGGGGGCCUUUGAAAAAGUUUUUGAAAAGGACUCCAUGUCUCCAUGAAUAUGUUUAAAUGUAAAAACUGGUAAGUUUUUUUAUGUGUGUUUUUCGCACAAUGCUGUCUAAACGAUCCCCAUUCACACGAAUCCAUGAAAACAACUUAAAAUGCUGUAUCAUGCAUUGCCAGUAGUUGGCGAUGUCAUUUUGUAAAGAAACACUUUGUGCACACAUAACACGUAUGCACAUCACUGUUUACCUGUUUUAGCUUAUUAACAUUGUGUGUAUAUGAAAUAGAUGCUGACACGGUCAUCAGAGGCAGAAAUGUUUAAGUCAACACAACCCUCUUAUGUAAUAUUCGAGUGGCGAAUUAUAUUUUGUGCUUACAUUGGAGAUGCAUUAGAAUAAAGGUCAUAAAAUAUUUUAAUGCUACUGUGUUUUGUGUGUUUUUGAAGCUUGAAAGCCUCAUCUGAACAACAGCACAAUUCUUAAACCUUCCACAGGAAAAAAAUACAUAUACACCUAUCAUACAGGUCUGGAAUGACAAAGGUUAGAAAAAUAAUGGCAGAAAAUCAAUCUUUCGGUGAACGACUUCUUUAAUGGUUAUGUCAGCCAUCAUGGAUGUAUGGAGUGAUACUGGGAUAAUACAGAAAUAUGAUAAAACCACACUGCUGGAACGAGCCCUGCCCGGGUUUAGAUUUAAGAUUAAAGAGAAUAUAAUAGGAUUUACUGAAAGAUCAUACUGCUAAACACUGCCUGGUAGUCAUGGAGAAAUAUCAUAAAUAUAAAUGUCCCUACUACAUGGUCCUGAGCCAAAUCCUCUGGACUCUUCUCUCACCUGGAACAAUCAAUCCAAGUCUCUUUUGAUGACACACUUCAUCACUACAGACACACACAUGCACAUAGACAAACGGAGUAAUGUAUACUUUUCCCUGACGUAUAUUUCCAGUAAAUUACUCUGCCUUGCCAGUAAAACAAUAAUCUUGGUUGCUACCAAGCUUUUUUUUUUCGUAUUCCUUACAAAAAACAUCCUUAGGACCUGUGAAAUCUGAACUUUUUGGAAAAAGGCAGAGACUGUUAGAGGAGAAGUAACUCAGGUUUGGCUGAUAGCUUCAUCAUGUUUUCCGACCAGGUUUGACUUGAUCCGGCGAACUGUUUUAAUGUACAAACUAUUUUCAUGUCCAGCCAUCAAACUUAACGAGCGCGAGUGACUUUCAGAGCGCAGGAAACCGAAUUUCAUCAGUUGUCCAUUAGCUCUUUUGGCCCGGCUCUAUGGUUUCACCUCCUUUUGUGUGCUCACUUUGAGAGGAGAAACUAAAAAAAAGACACUUUCCCAUAUUCACAUAUUUGACAUAUAUCCCGAUGGGUCUCAACAUGCUUUGAUUCAAGUCCCACAUUAAGUGGCAACAUAGUACAAAGAUUGUUUCAUGCACAAAGUUAGAAGCCACCCCACCAUCUCACCUUUGAGGGGACAAUGUGAGUCCAUGAAGGGAUG